rnacentral:rRNA from 1 species
GACGUAGGGCGCGAGCGUUGUCCGGAUUUACUGGGCGUAAAGGGCGCGUAGGCGGCCACCGCAAGUCGACUGUGGAAUCUCCGGGCUUAACCCGGAAAGGUCAGCCGAUACUGCGGGGCUAGAGUGCAGAAGGGGCAACUGGAAUUCUCGGUGUAGCGGUGAAAUGCGUAGAUAUCGAGAGGAACACCUGCGGCGAAGGCGGGUUGCUGGGCUGACACUGACGCUGAGGCGCGAAAGCUAGGGGAGCAAACAGG